rnacentral:rRNA from 1 species
UAGAACUGUGGGGACGCAUGUGGAAAGCAUAAGCCGGGAAUGGAAAGACCGGUACAAGCGAGGUAGGUGUGUGACAGGCAAAUCCGUCAUAUAAGCCGAAGACGUGAUGUGGAGCGAAAUUUAGUAGUGAAGUAUGUGAGCCAUGUGCCGAGAAAAGCCGCUAUUGUUUUAUAUGUGCCCGUACCGUAAACCGACACAGGUGGAUGAGGAGAAAAUCCUAAGGCCGACGGAAGAAGCAUUGUUAAGGAAUUCGGCAAAAUGACCCCGUAACUUCGGGAGAAGGGGUGCCCACUGAAUGGUGGGCCGCAGAGAAUAGGCUCAAGCAACUGUUUAGCAAAAACACAGGUCUAUGCGAAACCGAAAGGUGAAGUAUAUGGGCUGACGCCUGCCCGGUGCUGGAAGGUUAAGAGGAGAGGUUAGCGUAAGCGAAGCUUUGAAUUUAAGCCCCAGUAAACGGCGGCCGUAACUAUAACGGUCCUAAGGUAGCGAAAUUCCUUGUCGGGUAAGUUCCGACCCGCACGAAAGGCGUAAUGAUUUGAGCACUGUCUCGACAAUGCAUCCGGUGAAAUUGAAGUACCAGUGAAGAUGCUGGUUACCCGCGCCAGGACGGAAAGACCCCAUGGAGCUUUACUCCAGUUUGAUACUGGGAUUCGGUACUGCACGUACAGGAUAGGUGGGAGACUGAGAACUAUGGACGCCAGUCUGUAGGGAGUCGCUGUUGGGAUACCACCCCUGUAGUACUGGGUUUCUAACCAUCUGCCGUGAUCCGGCAGUGGGACAAUGUCAGGCGGGGAGUUUGACUGGGGCGGUCGCCUCCGAAAGGGUAUCGGAGGCGCUCAAAGGUUCCCUCAGAAUGGUCGGAAACCAUUUGAAGAGUGCAAAGGCAGAAGGGAGCUUGACUGCGACACCGACGGGUGGAGCAGGUACGAAAGUAGGACUUAGUGAUCCGGUGGUAUAAAGUGGGAUUGCCAUCGCUCAACGGAUAAAAGCUACCCUGGGAUAACAGGCUUAUCACUCCCAAGAGUUCACAUCGACGGAGUGGUUUGGCACCUCGAUGUCGGCUCAUCGCAUCCUGGGGCUGUAGCAGGUCCCAAGGGUUGGGCUGUUCGCCCAUUAAAGCGGUACGCGAGCUGGGUUCAGAACGUCGUGAGACAGUUCGGUCCCUAUCCGGCGCGGGCGGAGGAUAUUUGAGAGGAGCUGUCCUUAGUACGAGAGGACCGGGAUGGACGGACCACUGGUGUAUCUGUUGUCGACCAACGGCAUGGCAGUGUAGCCAAGUCCGGAAGGGAUAAACGCUGAAGGCAUCUAAGCGUGAAGCCCCCCUCAAGAUGAGAUAUCCCUCCUUCGGGAGUAAGACCCCUUGAAGACUACAAGGUAGAUAGGGCAGAGGUGGAAGUGUGGCAACACAUGGAGCUGACUGUUACUAAUAGGUCGAGGGCUCG